rnacentral:rRNA from 1 species
UACGUAGGGUGCGAGCGUUAAUCGGAAUUACUGGGCGUAAAGCGCGUGUAGGCGGCUUGGCAAGUCGGGUGUGAAAUCCCUCAGCUUAACUGAGGAAGUGCGCCCGAAACUGCUUUGCUUGAGUGCCGGAGAGGAUGGCGGAAUUCCCCAAGUAGAGGUGAAAUUCGUAGAUAUGGGGAGGAACACCGGUGGCGAAGGCGGCCAUCUGGACGGUAACUGACGCUGAGACGCGAAAGCGUGGGAGCAACAGG